AUGACUGUUCGCUCCUCUGAGAACUGCUCUUUUCAGUACUGGGUACAUCAGACACACCAGCCCAUGAAUGUUAGCAGUCUGCUGUUCUUGAUUACAUUUGGGAAAACAUUAUUAAAUAUCCUCACCCUAGCAAUGAGAAGAAAAAACACCUAUCAAAAUUUUAUGGGUUAUUUUUGCAUUUCACUGGCAUUCAUCGAUCUUUUCCUUUUGGUAAACAUUUCCAUUAUAUCCUAUUUCAGGGAUUUUGUACUUUUAGGCAUCAGGUUUACUAAAUACCACAUCUGCCUAUUAACUCAGAUUAUUUCCUUUACGUACGGCUUUUUGCAUUAUCCAGUUUUCCUGAUAGCUUGUAUAGAUUAUUACCUGAAUUUCUCAAAAACCCCCAAACUUCCAUGCAAAUGUCAAACAUUAUUUUAUGUCUUUACGGUAAUUUUAAUUUGGAUUUCAGUCCUUGCUUAUGUUUUGGGAGAUCCAGCUAUCUCCCAAAGCCUGAGCAUGCAGGACGCUUAUCCUUACCCUUAUCAGUGCCCUUUCUAUGUCAGCAUUCAGAGCUACUGGCUCUCGUUGGCCUUGGUGAUGAUCUUGCUAGUGGUUUUAAUAACCUCUUGGUCAGAAGUCGUCACCUUGGUACAGGCUGUUAGGAUAACUUCCUAUAUGAAUGAGGCUAUCCUCUAUUUUCCCUUUUCAUCCCACUCUAGUUGUACCACAAGCUCUAAAAAGAUCCUCUUGCCCAAGCUCAUUGUCUGUUUUCUCAGUACCUGGUUGCCAUUUGUACUACUUCAGAUAGUCAUCCUUUUACUUCAGGUACAGAUUCCAGCCUACAUGGAGAUGAACAUUCCCUGGUUGUACUUUGUCAAUAGUUUUCUCAUUGCUACAUUUUAUUGGUUUAAUUGUCACAAGCUUAGUUUAAGAGCUAUCACAUUACCUGUGGAUCCGUUUGUGAGCUGGAAGUGCUGCUUCAUUCCACUUACAGUUCAUAACCUUGAGAAAACUGAGACGCCUGUAUCUGUAAUAAUCUGUUAAUACCUACUGCCAUGUUAAAGCUGAUGAAAAGCUACAACCACAAGAAGGAUCAUCAUUUUAUCAGCAGCAGAGAAUGAGGACUCAGGAUGUAGCAGAUGCUUAAGUUACAUCAGGUUUUCCUUCUCUGGAUUCAUACCGACUGCUGCCAGUGGCACUCAACGAGACCAACAGUUGUACUUUUGAAAGCAGAAGAAGGGCCUGUCCAUCAAUCUCCUGUGCUCUGAACUCGUCUGCGAUAUCCUGGCAGCCUGGAACAUGACCAAGGGAAAGAGUAAGAAGUAAUUCACUACAAUCAGACGUUACUCCUAACAGUUCACAGUCAUGCUCUCACUGGGUCUGAGUAUCUGAAAUACAGGCUGAGAGACAAAUGAAGUUGAUGUGUGGUAGCCUCAGGUUCACUCCUGAAGAAGAGAAUAUUUGUUGGAAUUCUGAAAAUAAGAAUUCAAAAUCCAGCCCUUUUGUGCAACAGGUGUGGAUGGAUCUAACAUCACUGCUGUGUGUGAGUGCAUGAGAAAAAUACUGAGGCCAAGGUCGUGAAUCACCUACCAGGCAGAGAAUGGAUGAAAGCCCAGACAUCGUCAACAGUCCAUAUUGAUGGCUCCGUUUGUGCAACUGGCAGCAAGUCACUGUUCUCCGGCAUUUUCCUAAUUCUCACAUCUCGAAGCUCACGUUCUCUUUCCCGCUCACUCUGCCUGCGCAAACGAGUUGUCAUAGCAGAUGGCACAGAAUCUUCAUGAGAGGCCAAGUCUUCUUCUGCAGAUGGAUAAGUAAUUGGAAGCUGGAAAAUGUAGUACAAGUAAAAUACAGCACUGUACUUUCCUUGCAUUUCUGAAAAGGGUAUUGUACAGUGAAGCAAGGUUUCUACAGACCUGCCUAAGGAUAUGUUCUCUUGCUGCCCCAUCAGGGCCACUUGGACGACGGCCACGAUGCCCAAGACUUUGAUUAUCAGGCUUACGAUUCCAACGACUAAGUGCAAAUUUUUUGGAACAGCUAACAUUGUACCUAAGAAAUUCAAGAAAGAAAAACUAUUAAAUGAUACAUGGGACAUGCCAUUUAGUAUUCAAUUACGACUUCGAAGUGCAACUAUGAAUCAGUAAGUGCCAUAUACUUCAUUGCAGACUACAGUACCUCAUAAAGUAAACCAUAACGUUCAAUGGAUUUACUUAUGCUAGAGGUCAAGUCAUGGCCCCUGUGUAUAUUAUAUAUCCCAACCUAAUACUGACCACCUAUAACAAGGUAUUGAUAUUUUCUCCUGAUAACAGCAUGAUAGUGGGAUUUUUAUGCAAAAUACAGAUGAUAUCAUUUUUCACAGCAGCAAAAUAAUUCAAGGUUCCAGGAGAAACAGAAGUUAAUAUAUUAACUAUUUAUGUUUAUUUAAACUGAUACUUUCCUAAGUAAUCAUUAUAAGAUUAAUAAAAAUAGGUAUGAAGUAAGGAGGGGGAAAACCUUAAACAGCUAGUAAAAUAUUUUUCAAGUAUUGCUGAAAUCAACACAAAGUUAGAGAUUUCAAAGUUACACAAGGAAUUCAGUGCCCCCGCUAUUCAGAAAAUUCAGAAGUACGUAAUUCUUUAAAAUUGGCUGAAAGAUUACUUUCCUUUUAUAAAAACAGAUUGCCUAGUGGUUUUGAACAUAGAAUUUUAUAAGACGUGAUGAAAACUUAAAACAGUUCUAUGCCACUUAUUGGGCUCCAAAGCCCUAGAAUGGGGGCUGGAAAACUUUUUCUGUAAAGGGGCCAGAUUAGUCAGUAUUUCCGGCUUUGUGGAUCACACGGUCUCUGUCCCCAAAUAUUCAACUGCAUUAUUGUAGUGCAAGAGCAGGCAUAGACAAUAUGUAAGCAAAUGAGCAUGGCUGUGUUCCAAUAAAACUUUAUUUACAGACACUGAAAUUUGGACAUAAUUUUCACGUCAUGAAAUAUUAUCCUUCUUUUGAUAUUUUACAAUUUAAAAACCAUCCUUAGCUUGUGGACCAUACAAAAACAGAUGGUGGCAAGGAUCUGGCCAACACCUUCCCUGGAAAGAAGAAUAGAAAGCUAUGAAAAGACUGAGAAAAAUACAUGCAGUUCCUACUAUAACUGUGAUUCAUAGUUUUAAAACUCUUUUGCUCUAAGAAGAUUUUUCAGGAAAAUGACAAAAAUGAAUCCCAGUUAAUUUUGCUACUGAUAACUAGGACUAGUAGGUAGAUACUAAAAUAAGUUUUCCUCACCUAUGAUUUAUGAAAAUAUCAGGAGGGAGAAGUAAAAAGUACUAUGAGAAUGAACAGGCUAUUUUUCUAUGGGAAAAAAAAAAUAGCACCCUGAUGGACACUUUAUUUUACCCCAAAACAAUAAGCUCCUGCUAUGUUCACCUGUGGGCUCAACUCUGUAGGUUUCUGAUUUCUAUUUAGCUCAAUUAACAAAGCUUCUUUCCCCAUAGAAAAAGGACAGAGAAAAGAAAAUAAUUAUAUACUCGAUAUCUAGUUCCUAAACAUUUAGAUCUCCACAUAUUUAGGCAGGCAUGUAAUCAGCAGCAGUUCCUCUCUGCCCUAAUUUAUCCUCUCUUCUUUGCUCUCUCGUCCAUAUUUCGCUAUCACGGGGCCCCAAACCUUCUAGAGAAGCUCACCUUCUUUAGAGUUAAAUGAGGAUCCCUCAUUUCUUACUGAACUCUCAUCAGAAUCACCCCACUGUCCUUAAUUCUUCCAACAGUUUCUUCAAGGCCAUCUAGACUCCAAACUCACUUCUACACUUUAGGUAUUUGUUAGAACGGCACCCCAUUCCUGGUACCAAAUUCUGUCUUGGUUAGCUAGUACUGCUGUAACAAAAAAUGCCAUAAGUGGGCGACUAUAGAACAGAAUUAAAUGUUAAAUACCCUGAAAUAUUUCUGAAGAGUUAAAUACCUAAAAUAUUCGCAAACAUAGUCCUUUUCCCAAGUUUUCAGAGUUUUUAAUCACUUAGAAUCAGAGUGCCACUUUUUUCUUGUGGUAUAUGCAAACUAAAAAAAUAUCAAGUUAAACCAAGCGUUACAUAAUUUGAUUAUAGGGCUAUCAAUAACAUGAAAGACUAUUUGAGUAAAACAGUUUAACAAGUGAGAAACCAAUAAACCUAUUUUUGGAGGAAAAUACUUCUAUGACUUUUAUAAUUUAAGUUUUUCUAAGUAUAUUUUAGUACAUUCAUCCAAAUGAAAUGUUCAAGCAAAAAAUUCCCUAAGUAUGUACAAUCAAGAUCUUAAUUCUUUGAGGGAACAAUCACUUUUCUGAACACAGAACAAGUUUUAAAAUAAUCGAUCUGUGUGUACACUUCAACUUAAGUAGUACUUAUGCAAUUAUGAUUUAUAAUCAAAGGUUUUUUUUUUUAAUGUAAACUAAAUUUGGGAAUUAUAAAAUUAAUUAAAAGACCAAACGUUUCUUUUGUUAUUCAUCCUAUUAAUCUAUAAUUUUACCAGUUGCUGUUGAGCAGAUUCUGACUCAUGGCAACUCCACGUGUGUCAGAGUAGAACUGUGUUCCAUAAGGUUUCCAAUGGCUGUUUUUUCAGAAGUAGAUCACCAGGCCCUUCUCUUCCAAGGCACCACUGGGUAGAUUCAGUUAGCAGCCAGGUAUGUUAACCAUUUGCAGCACCCAGAGGCUCCUAUUUAUCUACAAUAAUUACUAUUAAAACUACUGGUUUAAAAAAGACAGACAUUUUGCUGUCUGAUAAUGUGGCAAUGUAGGGGAAUUUAUUGCUAUAGCGGCCCCACUUAAAAACCUAAGACAGGAUAUAGUUCAAACAAAUAAGAUACAAUCAAAACAAUUUUAAACAAAGUAAAUUAUGCCCCUCAAAAAAGUUAUGUUGAAGUUCUAACUCCUGUACCUAUAAAUAUGACACUGCAUAGAAAUAGGGUCACGUUAAUGAAGUCAUAACAGAGUAAAGUGGGUCCUAAACCUAAUCCCUUCUGAGUGACGUCUUAUAAAAAAGAGCAGAAUACACACAGACACAGAAGAAGACAGGUAUCAUGGGAAGACACAUCUACAAGCAGCCAAGGAAUGCUGAGAAAUGCCCAGGGCUACAAAAGCAGAAAGAGACAAGGAUCUUCUCCUAGACCCUAAGGAAAGAAAAGGUGCCUACCUGUGACAAUACCUUGGAACUGGACUCCUACCUUGCAAAACUACUGUAAGACACAAAAUUCUUGUUCUUUAAAGCCACCCACUCAUGGUAGUAUUUGUUACAGCAAAAAAAGGAAAAAAAAAAAAAGACUAUCAUCGAUUAUAACUCAUAGCAACCCUAUAGGUCAGAGUAGAACUGCCCCAUAGGGUUUCCAAGGCUGUAAAUUCUUAUGGAAGUAGGCUGCCAACCUUUCUCCCACGGAGUGGCUGGUGGGUUUGAACCACCGACCUUCUGGUUGGCAGCUGAGCGCUUUAACUGCUAUGCCACCAGGGCUCCCUAUUUGUUACAGCAGCACUAGGUAACUAAGAUACCCAAGUAUUUCAAUGUUGAUAAAACAAAUAUCGUUUAGAUAUGUUAAGGACUAAUACUCUAUAAUAUCCUGAUCACUUCACAGGAGUGAUACUCCUAAACAUACUGCAACCACCAGAAGAUUUCUAAUUCAAUAUUACACUGUAAAACUCAUUGUAAGUGUUAUGAGUACAUAAUUUUCACAGACCAAAAUUUAAAAGCUAUAUACCAAGGUAGCUCCAGAUGAUGUCUAUUUUAUAUUAUUCCUGCAUUUUAUGAUAAUACCUAUGUUUUGCUAUUGGUAGACUAUAUGAA